rnacentral:rRNA from 1 species
UACGUAGGGUGCAAGCGUUAAUCGGAAUUACUGGGCGUAAAGCGUGCGCAGGCGGUUAUAUAAGACAGAUGUGAAAUCCCCGGGCUCAACCUGGGAACUGCAUUUGUGACUGUAUAGCUAGAGUACGGCAGAGGGGGAUGGAAUUCCGCGUGUAGCAGUGACAGGCGUAGAUAGGCGGAGGAAAACCGAUGGCGAAGGCAAUCCCCUGGGCCUGUACUGACGCUCAUGCACGAAAGCGUGGGGCGCCAACAGGAUUAGAUCCCAGGGUAGUCC